rnacentral:lncRNA from 1 species
CUCUCUCUGGAGAUUGCUCUUCAUGGAGUUUUUGUGAGCCUCCAACAUUGCUAUGGGUUCUGAUCUGAAGAGUAUGGCCCCAGCAGCAGGAAUUUGCAAGACCAGGCAGCAUUAAAAUUCUGUGAAUCUGCUGAGAUCUGAGGUGGACUACGUGCUCCUAAGACUCACAGUCCAUGACAGGCUUCAUCUCAUCAAAAUGAAUGGUGUCUCUUUAUGGCCUGGCACGUACCGGCAGAAGGUUCUAAGUUACACCAAUGGGACAUUUAAACCUGCCCUAAAAUGCGUUUCAGGUAGGAACAGAAUGACUGUGGAGCAGCCUGCAAUGCCCAUUUGUCGAUUUCCUUGCACUGCACAUGAUCAAUCUGCAUUGCCAUGGGUAAUUUUUGCUGCAAAAGGUGCCUUGUACCAGCUUGUUGAAGCACCAUGGGAAGACACACAGACCACUUGUUUACUCUCUCCAUUUCUAGGAGGUUGGAAGAACCAAACCAUGCUAGAAACAGAACCGCUGCAAGCCAGGCAGCUGAACAGUCAGAGCUUAUGGGGGAAUCCUAGGAGGACUAUUGGAUUGAGAUUUGAGGGCUCAUCAGAGCAGAACGUUGGAUGCAGAGUUCAAAGUGCCCUUGUGUGGGUCCAUUCAGAAGCCACUCAGCAGACCACAGGCGCAUACCUUACAGAUGCAAAACCAGGACUGCUCCUACUUUGGCUCUGACUCCUGGUCGUCUCAUGUGUGACCUCAAAGCUACUGCACACCAUUGUGUACCUGCAGACUUACUGGAGCAAAGCCUCCAAAUGGCAAAUGGAAAAGCCAUCUGGACUUGUCCGUGGCCCUGCUAACUCUCAUGGUGCUGCCUUGGCUGUAGUCAACCACCUCUAGCAGGAGGAAAUGUCAUCCUUAACAAAACCAGAGAAGCUUAUCAAGUCACUGAGCAAACCUACAGUGUCCCUUGUACAGGCAGAGAUUCUUCUGAAGCCCCAUCAGAAUUUCUGGUCCAGUCAUCUGCCUCAUUCUCUCUGUUCAACAUCUGUGGUGCUUUUGUUCAGCAGGAAAAAGCAAAGAUGUUUAAAAGAAAACAAAAAACAGAGCACAAUGCAAACAAACCAAAUUAAAGAAAACGUUUUAAAGCAUUUCCUUGCUCACAAGAUGUGAGAUGGUCAUGUGUUUAAAACUGCAAUAUUAUUUCUGGCGACCGGUCUUGUGAUAUCCUUUUGUUGAUUUUUUCCAACCUCUCAAGAAACUGGAAUGAAAAUAUUUUACUGAUGUUACCAUCCCUGGGAACGGUUUGUCAACGCUGACCCAGGUUAAUGCUGCAAACUCAAAAUAUUUGGCAUGUGCUUUUGUAUUUUUCCUUCAUCAAAGAGAUUAUAUGGGGUGAAGGUCUGUUCACAUGAAAGCAGUGAGAGAUACUGGCAGUGUACUUAGCAAAACAAGAGGGGCCCUUUUAUAAAUGUGUGUGCAUAUAUGCAAAUAUGC